GUUAGAACCCCAGCUGCAAGUGAGACUGGAAAAAUGGCUCUCAGAGUUCCCGCCUCUGCAGUAGAGGAAGACACUCCAGAAGGAGUUGAGAAUGGGUGCUGAGUGCCUCUUCAGGAUGUCUGUCACACCUCAGGAAACCUGCCAGGAAUACCAAAGGGAGUGAAAAAUCCAAGGAAUACUUGUCAUUGAAAUUAGGGCCCACCUGGAUAAUCCAUGAUGAUCUCAUCUCAAGAUCCUUAACUUAAUGACAUCUGCAGAGACUGGUUUAUCAAAUAAGGGACUGUGGCUAUAUCGCUGACCUCAAGAAAACCUGCGGACAAAAUCUGCUAAAGAAGUAUCAGCAUCUAUUUCAAAAGUUAGCCAUUAUUUUAAGAAGACUGUGCUGGAAGACGGGUAUUUAACACAAACAGAUGCAAAAGAUACGGGGUUUCACCGUGUUGACCAGACUGAUUUUGAACUUCUGGGCUCAAUCAGUCCACCUGCCUCGGCCUCCCAAAGUGCUGAGAUUAUAGGUGUGAGCCCCUGCGCCUGGCCAGGGAUGCCGUUCUUCACUCUCCAAUUGAGCAGCCAUUAUAUAUCAGGCACUAUAGGAGUUCCUGGAGGAUACUGGUCUGAAGUUAGCAUGAUCUUGACUCAAGAAACUUAUAGUCCUGAUAAGAACUUCCACCAGAAUUCCAGAUAAGGCAGCACAGGCCUUGCUGUUUGCCCAUGCCCAUGCGGUCAGCUCUCUUGGGUACCGUGGCAUGCAGAUGCAGACACUCACCCA
rnacentral:lncRNA from 1 species